AGCCCGCUGAGAGAAUUGGAGGGGGGCAGACGAGGUUCAUUUGUUUCAUGGCUCGUGUUGCGUGUCAAGCAUAUCCAUAUCUUCUUUCACUAUGUGGUUGUAUGUCUGUCUUUGUACACGCGUUUCAUAUUUUCCUUUAUGAUAUGUCCUCUUUAUUUUUUUCGCUCCCACAGUUUGAGUCAGCGUAAAAAAGCGCAUGGCACCUUCGUGCGUGACAGAAAGAUGGAUGACCGAGAUAUUUCCGCACGCAACUAUUGUUUUUCCCGGUGCUGCUGCCUUCGCUUGACUGACCAAGCAGAUUUAGGAUUGUCCCGAAGACCAAGCCCACCCCUCCAUGCCGGAGCUCCGCUUUCUCACGCGAACUGCAGGAGCAGGGACGAGUGGGCGAAAGCCCAGCGACUGGCAUUAUCCAUCAUAUUGAGCAUGGCAAUAAUACGGCCUAUCUCGGAGGAGAAAGAAAUAAGCGAUUUAGAGCGUCUCUCAAUAAUGUUCAUAUGCCUCAAACAGUGGAAAAUUAGCCUAUUGUUUUCCAGAAUUUAAAUUACACGUUGGCGUCUUUUAACUUGGCUUUGGAGUUACACUUCACUUUCCUCAAAAGCCUGCACAUUUUGGGUUGCCUACUAGUUGUAAUCCAGGAUUCCAGGAAUGAUCAUCCAAAUGUUUAACUAAUUAGGCAACUAAUGGUGAGGCUCUCUAAUAGCCAUACACUGAAAUCUGCACUUAAAUGUCUUGAGACAUCUUCAAGUUGAAUUAUGCUAAUUAUUUAAAUUGAACAAUAAAGUUAACCCAUUGUGAAUGAUACAGUCCUACAGUUAACCCCGAACCGAAUGUAUAACACAUUAGGUCUUGGAAGUUGAAAUACAAGACAAAAAAAAUAGAGGCAUAUUGUCAAGUAGACAAAAGCCAAUUAAUAUAAAUCCAUGUACAUGAUGAAAAUUAUGAUAUAGAGAACAACUUAAAUAAAACAACAAAGAGAUAAGCGAAUGCUUAAAAUAUAGCCUAAUUAACCAUAACUGUCUUCAAUAAAAACUUAAUUAAACAUCCAUGCCUUUUCUAUGGACUAUGCCUACAAACCAAUAGUAAACCAUUUCAGCGUGUUUAUUUGUAUAUGGACAGGCCAUUGUGGCCCGAAUGAUAGAGAUAUGCGUGCAUAAAAACGCAUGUCUGCGCGUAAAUCCUGCAUUGAUAGGAGAUUUGGUUAAAUGUCUAAUUAUGCAUGUGGAUAUUAAGUUAGGAAUUUGUCGAGUGAGAUUUCUCAGCAACAAGUUAUGUUUAUCAAUCAAAGCAUAUAGGCUAACAGCCAGGCUAAUAUGAUGCUGGUUAACAGGAAAAGCUUAUAUGCAUCCAAAAUACGUUGUUGAAAUAAUAUAAUUUCAUUCUGAGUCGAUAGGCUCAUUACCGCUGUUUCAGUCCAUGGUCCAACUAUGUUGGAAAUCCCUCGUAUUGCUGUGCAGAGUCGAUAUAUAUUCACUGUCAGUGGGCUAUCUGGAAUAGGAUGUACAUUUCCUAAAAGAAGAGAGACUGUAAGGGUAAUGAACUCAUUCACCCUUUCACCCCUGCAGUGCUGACAGAAUACUCCCCCACCCCCACACCCCAGCAUCCUUAACCAAGGGCUGGGGGAGGCGAGGGCUUGGCCAAAACGCUCUCACGCAACUUGGCCAAUCUUUAACUUGACUGCUAACAGGUACACGCACGCGAUGGCAUUUGCCAGUUUUUAUCACGACUUGUUUCAAAACAGACCCCGCUCAGAAUGGUGUGUUGUAGAUGGUGAGGUCUAGAAGACUCUAUUCUAGGUUUUAAUACAUAUAACUUACAUUUGAGUAAGUUCCAAUUGGGAUAUUGAUUAACACAACAGGGAUCCGAAGUCAAACACUUUGGAUAGCUUACACAAGCAGACAAGACAAUAUAGUCUCUUAUCUCAAUCGAAUGUUUUAUCCUCCAUGACACACUUGAUAAGUAGGCUACAUUUGUUUCCUAUAAGUUAAUAAGACGCACACGUCUUCCCAUUGUCCUUAUAUGCAAUACUGUUGACAGGUUGGUUGAGUGAGAUGUAUCAAACUGUCAAAGACGAGUCUCUUGAUUAAAAGUACUUCGGGGCUGUAAGUUCUCCCGCUUGGGAUAGGCUACACCUUUGCACGCUAUCGAAAUCUGUUGCAAUGAGUAGGCCUAAAGGAAAGAUUGCCAAAGGGUUUAUGACUUAAUAACCAAUGCUUAACAGUUUCCUGUUAAUUAAUUUAUGGAACAAGUAUUUAAAGAAGAAAUGUUGAUGUUUGCUAAUAAUAAAAUAUAAAAAUGAAUACCACUGGAAACAGAUUAGACACUGAUGGUACAUUUACUUUUGAAAUUAUUGUGGGCCCAAAGUGAUUAAGCUUGUGUCCUUAAAUUAGUUGUGGAAGAGUUCAUGUUCAAUAGAUCAUUGAGAAUAAAUAUUUGGAUCAGCCCUAAAGUACUGUCAUCCUUAUACAAUGUGCUUUAUAUAACUGUUUUCAUGAAUAUGUUCCAUAUACUUUUAAGAUAAAUAGUUCAUAACAUGAUAAGGAGUGGACGAAUUGCCUUUUUUUCAAUAUGGCUUAUUAGCCUACUGCCUACCAUAGCCUGCAAUAUUAGGCCCAAUACCAUAACAUUCAUGGUAAUAAAUUAAUAAUAAAAUACAUAUAAAUAUUUAGGCCUAAACAAAUAAAUUAAACAAAAUAUACCAAUAUAAUUACCACAUCUAUAACAUUAUAAGUAAGAUGUGUAGUAUGAUGAAUAGGUAUGAUAGUGAUUAUAGGUCUACAUCUACAUGGUUGUGCUUAUGAUUAUGAUGAUAUAAUAUGAUUAAAAGUUAGGCUGAUUGUAUUAUUGUAUUGUUAUUACACAAUAACACAUUUAACAUGCUCUACGUCAAUUGCAAAUAUCAUUGGUGAUCAUUCCACAAAUCAAUGUAUUCCUCUUACCUGACUGGCUUCUUCUAUAUAGUCUGUUUUAUAACUCCCUCCAACAGGCUAAUGAACAUCUGAAAAGCGACUCAUCCAAUCAUUCUGAUAUGAACCUAAAAUCAUAUCUAAAAAUGUUUAAAAAUUAAAAAUGUAAAAAAAAGUCAUCUGAACGUCGAAUAGCCUACUGAGAACGACUUGUUCGAAAAUUAAACAAGCAGUCUAUUAAAUUUCUCUUCGGUUAGACAUUCUAAAAUAUUUUUAUAACAAACUAUAUGAAAUUGUAUGUAUAUAUUUUUUCAAUAGGGCCCAUCACUGAUAUAUCAGUGAAAGCAUGCACUCUUAGAAAAAAAUAUCUUACUCCUUAGACGUUUCUUUUUAUAAUAAAGGCAAGCUUACAUUGUAUAUACACUA